AUUGAACGCUGGCGGCAUGCCUUACACAUGCAAGUCGAACAGCAGCACGGGUGCUUGCACCUGGUGGCGAGUGGCGAACGGGUGAGUAAUACAUCGGAACGUACCUUAUCGUGGGGGAUAACGCAGCGAAAGUUGCGCUAAUACCGCAUACGCCCUGAGGGGGAAAGCGGGGGACCGUAAGGCCUCGCGCGAUUAGAGCGGCCGAUGUCUGAUUAGCUUGUUGGUGAGGUAAAAGCUCACCAAGGCGAUGAUCAGUAGCUGGUCUGAGAGGACGAUCAGCCACACUGGGACUGAGACACGGCCCAGACUCCUACGGGAGGCAGCAGUGGGGAAUUUUGGACAAUGGGGGCAACCCUGAUCCAGCAAUGCCGCGUGAGUGAAGAAGGCCUUCGGGUUGUAAGGCUCUUUUGUCAGGGAAGAAACAGCAGCUCUAACACAGUCUGCGAAUGACGGUACCUGAAGAAUAAGCACCGGCUAACUACGUGCCAGCAGCCGCAGUAA
rnacentral:rRNA from 1 species